AGUAGUUGACUCGUGCUCGAGACGACGCUGGCGGCGUGCUUAACACAUGCAAGUCGAACGGGGCGAUUAGAAGCUUGCUUUUAUGAGCCUAGUGGCAAACGGGUGAGUAACGCGUAGGCAACCUGCCUCUAAGAUGGGGACAACAGAGCGAAAGUUCUGCUAAUACCGAAUGUUGUAAGUAGCUCGCAUGAGAGACUUACCAAAGAUGGCCUCUACUUGUAAGCUAUCACUUAGAGAUGGGCCUGCGUCUGAUUAGCUGGUUGGUGGGGUAACGGCUCACCAAGGCGACGAUCAGUAGCCGGUCUGAGAGGAUGAACGGCCACAUUGGGACUGAGACACGGCCCAGACUCC
rnacentral:rRNA from 1 species